rnacentral:rRNA from 1 species
AGAGGAGCUUGCUCUUCUUGGAUGAGUUGCGAACGGGUGAGUAACGCGUAGGUAACCUGCCUUGUAGCGGGGGAUAACUAUUGGAAACGAUAGCUAAUACCGCAUAACAAUGGAUGACACAUGUCAUUUAUUUGAAAGGGGCAAUUGCUCCACUACAAGAUGGACCUGCGUUGUAUUAGCUAGUAGGUGAGGUAAUGGCUCACCUAGGCGACGAUACAUAGCCGACCUGAGAGGGUGAUCGGCCACACUGGGACUGAGACACGGCCCAGACUCCUACGGGAGGCAGCAGUAGGGAAUCUUCGGCAAUGGGGGCAACCCUGACCGAGCAACGCCGCGUGAGUGAAGAAGGUUUUCGGAUCGUAAAGCUCUGUUGUAAGUCAAGAACGGGUGUGAGAGUGGAAAGUUCACACUGUGACGGUAGCUUACCAGAAAGGGACGGCUAACUACGUGCCAGCAGCCGCGGUAAUACGUAGGUCCCGAGCGUUGUCCGGAUUUAUUGGGCGUAAAGCGAGCGCAGGCGGUUUGAUAAGUCUGAAGUUAAAGGCUGUGGCUCAACCAUAGUUCGCUUUGGAAACUGUCAAACUUGAGUGCAGAAGGGGAGAGUGGAAUUCCAUGUGUAGCGGUGAAAUGCGUAGAUAUAUGGAGGAACACCGGUGGCGAAAGCGGCUCUCUGGUCUGUAACUGACGCUGAGGCUCGAAAGCGUGGGGAGCGAACAGGAUUAGAUACCCUGGUAGUCCACGCCGUAAACGAUGAGUGCUAGGUGUUGGAUCCUUUCCGGGAUUCAGUGCCGCAGCUAACGCAUUAAGCACUCCGCCUGGGGAGUACGACCGCAAGGUUGAAACUCAAAGGAAUUGACGGGGGCCCGCACAAGCGGUGGAGCAUGUGGUUUAAUUCGAAGCAACGCGAAGAACCUUACCAGGUCUUGACAUCCCGAUGCUAUUUCUAGAGAUAGAAAGUUACUUCGGUACAUCGGUGACAGGUGGUGCAUGGUUGUCGUCAGCUCGUGUCGUGAGAUGUUGGGUUAAGUCCCGCAACGAGCGCAACCCCUAUUGUUAGUUGCCAUCAUUCAGUUGGGCACUCUAGCGAGACUGCCGGUAAUAAACCGGAGGAAGGUGGGGAUGACGUCAAAUCAUCAUGCCCCUUAUGACCUGGGCUACACACGUGCUACAAUGGUUGGUACAACGAGUUGCGAGUCGGUGACGGCGAGCUAAUCUCUUAAAGCCAAUCUCAGUUCGGAUUGUAGGCUGCAACUCGCCUACAUGAAGUCGGAAUCGCUAGUAAUCGCGGAUCAGCACGCCGCGGUGAAUACGUUCCCGGGCCUUGUACACACCGCCCGUCACACCACGAGAGUUUGUAACACCCGAAGUCGGUGAGGUAACCUUGUGGAGCCAGCCGCCUAAGGGGGACAGAUGACGGGGG